GAAAAAUGGUUCUUAUCUGCCAUAGGAUAGGAUCGUGCUCGAUUAUGGUUGUUGGUGAGGUAAAGGCUCACCAAGCCGAUAAUCGAUAGGGGCCGUGAGAGCGGGAGCCCCAAGAUGGGUACUGAGACAGCGACCCAGGCCUUACGAGGCGCAGCAGGUACGAAACCUCCGCAAUACACGAAAGUGUGACGGGGUUACCCAAAGUGUUCUUAUAGAACUCUGGCAGGUGAGUAAUGUCCCCUGCUAGAAAGGAGAGGGCAAGGCUGGUGCCAGCCGCCGCGGUAAAACCAGCUCUUCAAGUGGUCGGGAUAAUUAUUGGGCUUAAAGUGUCCGUAGCCGGUUUAGUAAGUUCCUGGUAAAAUCAGGUAGCUUAACUAUCUGUAUGCUAGGAAUACUGCUAUACUAGAGGGCGGGAGAGGUCUGAGGUACUACAGGGGUAGGGGUGAAAUCUUAUAAUCCUUGUAGGACCACCAGCGGCGAAGGCGUCAGACUGGAACGCGCCUGACGGUGAGGGACGAAAGCCAGGGGAGCGAACCGGAUUAGAUACCCGGGUAGUCCUGGCCGUAAACGAUGCAUACUAGGUGAUGGUACGGCCAUGAGCCGUGUCAGUGCCGUAGGGAAACCGUUAAGUGUGCCGCCUGGGAAGUACGGUCGCAAGGCUAAAACUUAAAGGAAUUGGCGGGGGAGCACCACAAGGGGUGAAGCCUGCGGUUCAAUUGGAUUCAACGCCGGA
rnacentral:rRNA from 1 species